rnacentral:rRNA from 1 species
GACACGCUACGGCGAGCCUAAUACAUGCAGUCGUAACGGUGCCUUCGGGCAUAGUGGCGCACGGGUGCGUAACACGUAUGCAACCUACCUUACAUUGGGGGAUAGCCUUUCGAAAGGGAGAUUAAUACCGCAUAACACAGUGAGUUGGCAUCAGCUUAUUGUUAAAGAUUUAUCGAUGUAAGAUGGGCAUGCGUCCAAUUAGUUAGUUGGCGAGGUAACGGCUCACCAAGACGAUGAUUGGUAGGGGAACUGAGAGGUCAAUCCCCCACACUGGCACUGAGAUACGGGCCAGACUCCUACGGGAGGCAGCAGUAGGGAAUAUUGGGCAAUGGACGCAAGUCUGACCCAGCCAUGCCGCGUGCAGGAAGACGGCCCUCUGGGUUGUAAACUGCUUUUAUAUAGGAAGAAAGAAUCCUUGCGAGGAUAGUUGACGGUACUAUAAGAAUAAGCACCGGCUAACUCCGUGCCAGCAGCCGCGGUAAUACGGAGGGUGCAAGCGUUGUCCGGAUUUAUUGGGUUUAAAGGGUGCGCAGGUGGUUUAUUAAGUCAGUGGUGAAAGACGGUCGCUUAACGAUUGCAGUGCCAUUGAUACUGGUAGACUUGAGUGAAUUAGAGGUAGGCGGAAUUGAUAGUGUAGCGGUGAAAUGCAUAGAUAUUAUCAAGAACUCCGAUUGCGAAGGCAGCUUACUAUAAUUUAACUGACACUCAUGCACGAAAGUGUGG